rnacentral:tRNA from 1 species
CUCCUUGUGGUGUAGUUGGCUAUCACGCUCGGCUGUAAAUGGAAAAAUAAUAUACCGAAAGGUCACCGGCUAGAUUCCGGUCGAGGAGA